UAUUCUAGUAGCUGAACACACCCCAGGCUCUUCUGACCGGCAGUGGCUCUGGAAGCAGUCUGGUCUAUAGAGUUAUGGAUUCACUACCAGAUUCUACUGUAUGCUCUGACAACUAUGACCACAAUGGUCCACCCACAAAUGAAUUAUCAGGAGUGAACCCAGAGGCA